UAUUUAGCGGCACCCCGCCGGCGGCUCCGCCCUUCCUUGCGCCCCGCGGCCACGGGGAGCGGAGCUGCCGCCGCGGUGCGGAGCUGCCCUGGGCCGUGCUUCGCGGGUGCUGUGGCAGCAGCUGACCUCCGCUGCCUUCCAGCCUGGGGCGCGCCCGUCCAGCCCCGGAGCAGACUCCAUCCUCCCAGAGGCGUGGCUGCUGGAGAGGUUUUUGUUGUUAGCUGGAAGACACCAGACUGAAAGGUGGACUUGUGAGGCACUUGGCCAUGGCCCUUCCUACUCAGCACUGCUUGAUUCAGCACAAGGCUGUUUGAAAAUGUGUGACUUGUCCUUGGAAGAGGUUCAGGGAGAGAAAUCUGCCUGUAGCUUAACCUGGCCUGAUGUGAGUGGAGCAGUGCCUCAGCCAGCAGCAAGGAUGGAGCCUUGGUGUUGGCCCCUGGCCUGAUGAUCUACGGGCAGCAUGGAGACUGCAGGAAGAAGAAACCACACCAGCUGUAAAAGUACUUACGGCCUAACCCUGCAACAGCUCAAGCACCUCAGUCAUACUACUCAAAAGUAGUUCCACAGAAGCCAGCCACUCCUUAAAGCAAACCUGCUCUGCACUAGGAGCCUUUGUCAGUCCCUGGCAUGCUGCUUUUAUAGAGACACAAACAGCUUCCAGGAAAAAAGUUUAGUUUUUUUAAUUUUCUGGUAACUUAUGAAAUGGCAUUGGCAAUGCCUCUCUUCUCACAUCAGCUACCUUCAGCAGCAGGGACAGGGACUGCUGGCAGAGCUGUGCUCCUAAAACAUGUCAUGGCACUGAGCGACCCCUGGCAAGCUGCACUGCCUUCCAUUAAUAAUCAUCAUCAUGCUGUGACCAUUACAGCAAGGAGGCUGCACAGGAAAGUGCCUGCAAAGCCUCUGCCAUUCUGAAUUACUAAAAGGCUUUGGAAACAGUAUGGAUUCUCUUAAGUACCUUCAGAAAGUGGGCAGGUUUCCUCAGAACAAAGGAAUCUUGCUCCCUGGGUGUAUUUUGUUACAGUUCCCAUUGCAAUGGCUAUUCCUUCAGACAUGUAAAAUCUCUGAGAUGUGUAAUUGAGGGGAAAUACAGACAGGCUCAGCAGGUAGCUUGGGAAAGGUGGCAAGUGUGUUGGUUUCAGCAGGAUGCUGAUCUGACAGGAAACACAAGGACAUGAACAGCAUCAGUACUUACAACUGCUUUGCUUACAUGGACAAACACAUUUGAGAAAGAAAGAGGAGGAGAAAAAUCCCAAAUGGAUGAAGUGUAAAUUACUUUGUUUCAUAUUAAUUACCUCAAAACCCUUGCAGUAGAGUUGGGUGGCACUUACAGCUGCUUUUAAUUAUAAAUACUACUACAGAGGCAAAAAAUAUUUGUCACUACUUCACCAUACUUAAAAGACACAAGCUCUAAAUGAAAGAAUGCAGACUCACCUGGGCCUCUGUCUGCAGUUGUUCAAUUAAUGAUAAUGUCUUAAUGGCUAUGAAACAGACCUGUGAUGGUAAGAUAGCUUCCUUUUAGAGUGGAAAAGCUGGCAGAGAGAGAGAAGAUGUGCUUCUGUCUGCUCUCUCCCUGUAUACUCACUGACUGGAAAACCUUUGCAGCUUGGAUGGGCUGGUGAAGGAUGUAGUUCCCAAAGGCUGCAUCUAAUUCGGCAAUAUCAGAGGGACUGAUUGAGAUGGUGAAACGAUAAACAGCAUAAGCUUGCCUGGAGUCUGGAGGAGCAAAAAGCGCCUUAGAUAAGGUUCCAGGCUGUGCAGCAGUACUUAGCUAUGUGACAGAAGCUCUCCUCAGCAGUACCAUUAUACUUUCUGCAGUCCUGCACGAAUUUCUGGAGGCCACCACUUCUGUCGAGAUAAACGAGAGCAAUUUCCCUCAUGUGCUGGAGAUCAGAGUGCAUCUUCCAGGGAAGAGCUUUGUGCUUUAGCAGAGCGUGGGACUAAGCUGCAAAGAAGUGAUGUUAGAACUGGCCACGUUCUGGUAACAAACAAAGCAUUAACAAAGCUGUGCAACAUCAGAAUAAACUCUUUCAAACUGCAA